CUCUGUGAAAGUCCUUGGUUAUAGAGAUGUUUAGUGUUCUGGCUUUCUUAAAUGCUGGUUAUGCUAGCAGUGAAUUUGUGUGUGGACACAUUCAAAACCUCUGGUUGCUCAGGUGUGGCGGCUAACACCUGUAAUCCCAGCACUUUGGGAAGCUGAGGGGGAUGGAUCACCUGAGGUCAGAAGUUUGAGACUAGCCUGCCCAACAUGGCAAAACCUCAUCUCUACUAAAACUAUAAAAAUUAGCUGGGUGUGGUGGUGUAUCCUUGUAGUCCCAGCUACUGAGGAGGCUGAGGUGGAAGAAUCAGUUAAACCUGGUGGGUGGAGGUUGCAGUGAGCUGAGAUCAUGACAUUGCACUACAGUCUGGUGACAGAGUGAGUCUCUGUUUCAGAAGAAAAACAACAACAAUAACAACAAACUUCUGGUUAGCCAGGACGUUGCAGGCAGUGGAAUUAGCUGUUGUCUUCUCUUUUCUGUGAUUGGGAUUAUUCUGUCAUGAGUUGCUGUAAUAACCUGAGUUGUUUGGUAUCCAACCAAGAUAUGGCACUUUCAAGAAAGCACCAGCUGAGCUACUACUGGUGCUAUCCAACAAAAGCCAUGUUACCAUGAGGCCGUCUUUAUGAACUUUCCCACCAGAGCACCCUGGCCUCCCUUGUAUGUUUCCAGCUUCUGAUGACAAAUCUAAUGUACACGGAGGUUAAGUAACUUGCCCAAGGUCACAUAGCCAAAUGCAGAAAUCCUGGUGGGAGCUGAAGUAGUCAUCAUGGUUCAGGAGAUGGAAGCCACCUUUUGAGAGAGCAGAAGAAAAAGACACAAGAAGUCAAACUCCACAGAAUCAUGGUGCCACCUUACCAGCCCUGGACUCCUAUAUUGAAGGGAAGCAAACUUCAAUUAAUUUAAGUGGCUAUUAUUUUUGUUCUUAUUAUUAUACAGCAAAACCACUACUGUAACUACUGAAGUUGAUGUCAUCAUUAUUCUCAUUUUAAAGAUGGAUAGACUGAGACACACAGAAUUUAAGUGAUGGAGUGGCAGAGCCAGGUUUGAACUAGAGAAUCUGGCUCCAGAGUCUUCCCUGUUAACCACAGCCCUCUAUUUUUCUGAUAAGAUGCCAUGCACACUUGUGUUUAAUUAAUUUUAACAUGUGAUUUUCUGCCAUUUGUGACUUAGGGAUGGGAAAGUCAGAAGGUUUUUUUGUUUGUUUUUGUUUUUUAAUGCCUUUCCACAUUUUGUAUCGGUGAUCAGGUUGAAAUCAAUAUGGAUGUGUCUAGAUUCAUUCAGGGAAGGAUGGUGAGGCUGAUAAUGGAACCAGAAACAGGGUGGCAGAAGUGAUGAUGUGCAGAAGAUAAGGAUGGGGAGGUAAUGAAAUUAAGAUGAGAAUGUGACUAAAGAGGGCCAAUUUCUGCACAGCUGAUAUGGAAAGCAAAUAACAAGUGUGUGAUAAAGCAUAAGGAGAUAAAGUAAGUAUUUUUACAUCACUGACCUAUAUGGCCCCAUAUCAGGUGCAAUCAAGGUUGCCUGGCAUCUUGCAGUUGGUCCUACUAGCCAGCAGUUUCCCUGGGACAACAAUGAUCCUGCAGCCUAAAGGAACACGUAAUGUUCUGGAAACUUGAGUUUCAGUGUGACCCUCUCCACAGCAAUCUUUUCAGCUUUAGGUCUUCCUGGGAAGCCUCAGAGCAGCAUUUCCUGCAGCUUCAUUAAAGAUACUGUUUCACUCACCUGUCUGUCCUGGCUUCUCCUUCUGUAAGCAGCAAAGGCAGGAUAACCCUUGGUAUUAGAAAGGUAUAAUGCUUAAAAUUAGAAGACUCUGAAAUCAUCUCAAAUUGACUCCUCACUUUUCAUAUAGGUUGACCUAAAUUUCAUGUGAGAAGAGAGAUUCUUCCUUUUACCACAUAAUUUUUGAGCGUGUUCUUCACUUUUCUCUAUUUCAUUUUCCUUAGGUGUGAACAAAAGACUUGAACUAAGUGAGUGCUGAGGGCAUUUACAGGAAUAGCCUUCCAUGGUUUGCCCUUCUUCAUAGCUUUGAAUUUCCAAACCACUGAAAAAGAAGUCACAAACCAUGCAUUUUCUUUAAUACAUCCUUACUUUUCACUGCCUCAGUCACUUAAAUAAUGGGAAGUUUUGUGUGUUCAUGCCUUUGUCUAAGAAAUCAUGAAAGAGGAAGUGUCUCAUUAGGAAAGGUGACUUGUAUUUACUUACACUAUGAUUAACAAAAAGACAAUUCCAUCUUUAGGAAAGUGGAGUUGUUCCAGGGAGAACAAUGAGAAGAUGCAUCUGGACUCCACAUUUCUGCCUUCUAGGCUUGCUCUCUCAUUGAAAGGAGAAUUUCCUAACUUCUAACUUCAUAAACAUUGCUCUAAGAGAGAAGUAGUAAUGACCCUCACUGACAAAGAAUGCAAUGCAAUUCAGAAUAUGCUUGAUGCAAAUCAUCAUCAAAUUGAUAGUGCUUUACACUUGGCAAAGUGUUCUCACAGUACAAGGCCCCCUGCCCAAUGUGGGCAAAACACAAUGAAUAAAAUAUGAUCCCUUCUUAGAAGGGACCUAUAAUCCAGGGUAGAAAAUAGACAAGUGCAUAAAUAAUUCUAACUCAAGACAGGCCCCCCAUUUAUGCUUUAUUAGAGGUACAAAGAAAAUAAUAGCAGAACAGCAGAGGGAAAGGUGACUUCCCAUAGAAUUUUAAAUGGAGGAUUCUUGAAAAAAGUGAGAAUUUGUCGAGGCUAUUGCUAAUAGCAAACAUAAUUGGUUACUUUACCUAUUUCUUUAAUUUCUUUCAAUUUUUACAAUAACCCAAAUGA